rnacentral:tRNA from 27 species
GGGCGGUUAGCUCAGCUGGGAGAGCAUCGCCCUUACAAGGCGAGGGUCACUGGUUCGAUCCCAGUACCGCCCACCA